rnacentral:lncRNA from 1 species
UCUCAAUCAAUUUUGUGCUUAAAAUCUGUAAAAUAUGACAUAAUUUGCUUGAUUUUGCACCGAAAUAACUCCCAAAACGUCUGAAAAAUGUUGAAUUUUGACCUCCGGUUGAAGUAUUUAUUAUGUAAACAAGACUCAGAGUGACGGGGAAUCCUGUACAUAGUCAUGUGCCCAUAUGUUUCUAGGUCACAUUUAUUUAUAUCUCGACCAAUGAAAAGCUUUAGGAUGCAUUUGUG